AACGCUAGCUACAGGCUUAACACAUGCAAGUCGAGGGGCAGCAUAAAAGUAGCAAUACUUUGGUGGCGACCGGCGCACGGGUGAGUAACGCGUAUGCAACCUACCUAUCAGAGGGGGAUAACCCGGCGAAAGUCGGACUAAUACCGCAUAAAACAGGGGCACCGCAUGGUGAUAUUUGUUAAAAAUUUAUUGCUGAUAGAUGGGCAUGCGUUCCAUUAGCUUGUUGGCGGGGUAACGGCCCACCAAGGCGACGAUCAGUAGGGGUUCUGAGAGGAAGGUCCCCCACAUUGGAACUGAGACACGGUCCAAACUCCUACGGGAGGCAGCAGUGAGGAAUAUUGGUCAAUGGGCGAGAGCCUGAACCAGCCAAGUAGCGUGCAGGAUGACGGCCCUAUGGGUUGUAAACUGCUUUUAUAAGGGAAUAAAGUGUGAGUCGUGACUCUUUUUGCAUGUACCUUAUGAAUAAGGACCGGCUAAUUCCGUGCCAGCAGCCGCGGUAAUACGGAAGGUCCGGGCGUUAUCCGGAUUUAUUGGGUUUAAAGGGAGCGUAGGCCGGAGAUUAAGCGUGUUGUGAAAUGUAGACGCUCAACGUCUGCACUGCAGCGCGAACUGGUUUCCUUGAGUACGCACAAAGUGGGCGGAAUUCGUGGUGUAGCGGUGAAAUGCUUAGAUAUCACGAAGAACUCCGAUUG
rnacentral:rRNA from 1 species